AGUGAACGCUGGCGGUAGGCCUAACACAUGCAAGUCGAACGGCAGCACAGGAGAGCUUGCUCUCUAGGUGGCGAGUGGCGGACGGGUGAGGAAUACAUCGGAAUCUGCCCAGUCGUGGGGGAUAACGUAGGGAAACUUACGCUAAUACCGCAUACGACCUUCGGGUGAAAGAGGGGGAUCGCAAGACCUCUCGCGAUUGGAUGAGCCGAUGUCGGAUUAGCUAGUUAGCGGGGUAAUGGCCCAUCAAGGCGACGAUCCGUAGCUGGUCUGAGAGGAUGAUCAGCCACACUGGAACUGAGACACGGUCCAGACUCCUACGGGAGGCAGCAGUGGGGAAUAUUGGACAAUGGGCGCAAGCCUGAUCCAGCCAUACCGCGUGGGUGAAGAAGGCCUUCGGGUUGUAAAGCCCUUUUGUUGGGAAAGAAAUCUUUCAGGCUAAUACCCUGGGAGGAUGACGGUACCCAAAGAAUAAGCACCGGCUAACUUCGUG
rnacentral:rRNA from 1 species